rnacentral:lncRNA from 1 species
GUUCCUGUUCCUGGCUUUCCUGGCUUUUUGGAUCCCCAUCCUGGCUCUGGGGGGAAGGAGGAUGGGUCUGGAGCACCUGUGAGACCCGAGCCUGGGCCCACCACAACAGAGGAUGCAGCCUCCCAACCCCAACAGCCCCAGAUUGGAGUCCCUGAGAGAAGCUGGGCCCUGUUUAACCCGACAAAGGGUGACUUUCUUCUCUGGAGUGCUCCGGGUCACGCUUGGGGACACAUGAAGGAUACACCCUCCCUGUCAGGCUUCCAUCGCACGUUGAACCUGGCUUGUGAACACAGCCCUCCGGGACACUACUAGGAACAAAGUGUUCCAGGCGCUGCAGGAGCUCAGCUGCCACCUGGAAAACCUGUUUGGCCACUUAGGUCCAGAUGACGGGAGCCAGCCGGGCUCAGGAGAACAGAGCUGGCCCAGUAACACCUCGCUUCCUCCCUGCUGCAGAGACCUAGGAGGGCCCUGCCCAGCACAGCACACUGGAGUGGCCCUGCGGCGGCAUCUGGGCUGCUGUACCCAUGGUGCCUCCCAGCCCGCGGGGCUCCCGGCAGCUCUGGAGACUCCUGCAUCACGUCACCUGGCCCCUCACCAUCACCAUCCUCAUCUCUCCUGGGAAUUAAAACAUUGAAGGAACAGAAGCAGGCUGCUGCCAGCAUUGCAUUUCUGUCAAGAAGCUGCCCCGCAAAAUUUAUGGAUGUAUUGCUGUAUGCACCUAAUAGCAAGCUCUACUGGAUGAAUGGCUUAUAAAGAUCUCCCCUGAAUAAAAUUGUGGUUUUUAACUUUAGUCUAGAAGAACAUGUCAAUUCUCUGUGCAUCCUUUAUGGCAGCCUCAGCAUGUGUUCAGCACUGGUAUUUAUUCUAUAUGACUGUUUGUUAAGCAACAGGCUGAAUUAAAAUGGGAAAGCUCACCAAGGAGUUUUCUUGAAAUACUGCUUUUCUAGCAAGGAGAACAUAGAAGAUGGUGAGGCAGCCUCGGCUGGAGUGCUGACUGCCCAGAAGCAGAGGGGCAAAAUGCACUCCAGUGUGGAUUUUGGUCAUUGAGGCUUUGCUGAGAGCAUGUCCCAGGCUGGGUUCACUUUUGCCUGAAGAGGCUGCAGCAGAAUGAAAACUCAACUGUGCAAAAGAAAACACUCAAAUUUUAAAAAGCACAAGAUUCUGCUGGGAUCAUCUGGUAGCAGGGGCAGCAGGAAAGACGUAAUAGAGAUUUCAAAGCAGGCUGAGGAGGAGGACAGGGCAUUCCAGCCUCUGUGGUUCAGCAAUCUCACCACCCCACAACCAACAGUGGCUUUCCAGCACAGAUCUUCAUGGAUUGCAGCAUUCGGGACCUGAGUCCAUGCCCAUGCAGAGGCCCAUUGCAGUGUUUGCUUAGUGUAGCUGCAUUUCCAGAAUGCAGGCAGGAGAAGCUGUAAUAGAUUCUCACCCUGCCGUGCGCACUGAUGGCUCACAUUCUAAACAGUCAGGAGUGAUUUUGGAUUUGGGCUGACCUGGUAGACUUCUGAAAGGCAGUGCUUUGGGUUCAAGUUGUCCUCAGGGCUGGAUGAUCCAUAGCAAAUGUCCCCUGAUGGAUAAGCAUGGUGCUGAGAGGCUUGCCUACAUCAGCUGUGUAAGCCUCAGGAAGGCCUGUACACAGGUAUACUGAGGCACGCAGAGACCAGCUCGUAGUCAGUGACAAGUAACUUGCCAAGAGCGGUGGUUUAAAAGCAUAUCUGCAAAUUCUUGGACACUCUUGUCAUCCAGAAAUAGAGUCUAACCCUCCUCCCUUGAAUAUGGGCUGGCUUCAGUGGUGGAAAUGACAAUGUGUGAGUUUGAAGUUUGAUUAGAAAAGAUGACACAGCUUCUGCCUGACUCUCAAGACCCUUGUUCUCAGACCUUAGCUGCCAUGCUGGGGGGAAGCCCAGCAGCCACACGGAGAGGCCACGACAGCCGAGGUCUCAGCCAAGCCAGCAUCAACUGCCCAACAUGUCAGUGAGUGAUCCUGCAGAGCCUCCCAUCUCCUAGGCACCGCAGCUGAUGCUCUGAGAGCGGAGGCAAGCUGUCCUUGCUGGGCGCUGCUUAAAUUGCAGAUGUAUGAACAAAAUAAAAAUGGUGGUUAUUUUAAGACAUU